rnacentral:rRNA from 1 species
GACGAACGCUGGCGGCGUGCUUAACACAUGCAAGUCGUACGGUAAGGCCCUUUCGGGGGUACACGAGUGGCGAACGGGUGAGUAACACGUGAGUAACCUGCCCACAACUUUGGGAUAACGCUAGGAAACUGGUGCUAAUACUGGAUAUGUGCUCCUGCUGCAUGGUGGGGGUUGGAAAGCUCCGGCGGUGGUGGAUGGACUCGCGGCCUAUCAGCUUGUUGGUGGGGUAGUGGCCUACCAAGGCGGCGACGGGUAGCCGGCCUGAGAGGGUGACCGGCCACAUUGGGACUGAGAUACGGCCCAGACUCCUACGGGGGGCAGCAGUGGGGAAUAUUGCACAAUGGGCGCAAGCCUGAUGCAGCAACGCCGCGUGCGGGAGGACGGCCUUCGGGUUGUAAACCGCUUUCAGCAGGGACGAAGCUUUUUGUGACGGUACCUGCAGAAGAAGCACCGGCUAACUACGUG